GAACUCUAGUCAAGGUAGUUUUAAUUGUUACUACAGAAGACUUGCAUAUCCUCCAAUAGGCUAGCUGCCUAAACAACAAGAUAUUUGCCCAAGUUCUUUUCCAGGAACUUAAAGUCAGAAAUGUCUCAUUUGAGCUAAGCUGGUUAAGACUGGAUGAGAUUACCCACCCUCCAGCUGGGUGUAUGAGUGUCAGCUGGGUGACUUUAAUAUCAGAGGGCCAGAAACUCCACCCUCAGGUAAUGUUAAACACCUCCAUUUUUGAACCUGCAGUGGCCUGUAUUUUAGUUACCCUGAGCUGGGCGAUGAUUACCAUAUGCUUUUACCAAUCAUCUUUUCCUGUGCUCCCCAUGCUUCUGCCAGUCCUGCAUCUUUAUUCUCUAUUCCGUAAAUACCCUGGGCCUUCAUGGAGGUGGAUCUGAGACUUGUUCUCCCCUAUUCUUAUCUCUUCCCUUUCUGCCUUUUUAGUAAACCUUCUCUUCCCUGCAAACUUAGGUACCUCAGCAUUUUACCUUGCUGCUUGACCUCGUUGGGUAACAGAAAGAGCCCUAGACUUGUUACUAGUUAAAUUUUAUCCCCAGCAAAGCCUAGAUCUAACCUUACAUGUAAAGAUUUUCUUUGUUUUGUUUCUUUGCUCCCAAAGCAACAUUAAAUUCCACUUUGUUUUCUUUCAUAUACUGUGUGCCACUGUUGACCCACAAUCUAGAGGGCCUUAUUUUACCUUGGAAAAAGUUUAUUAGUUCUGGAUCAUUUAGUCUUCUUCCAUUUUAACAAAAUUUCAUGGAGGUGACAUGGCUGUUCAGGGUUAGACAGGUAGUAUAUGAUCAUGAAAAAAAUGUAGCCUACCUCCCCACAUCCAUUCACCAAGCAACAAUAAUCUUGUCCCCUCACCAUUAGCCUAAUGUUUGUUGAUGAAGAGUAGACUUCUGUUUGUCUCACAAUGGUUAGUGGGGAUAAUAGCUGUAUUUUUCUGAUAAGGUUAUUGUGAAGGUUAUUUGAGAUGUUUAAUAGGUGGAGACCUGUAACCAGUGGAGAUACAUCAUAUUAAGGGCAUCCUCAGCUUUCCUUAAAUGUUGUCAUCUCAUUUGCAAGCUCCUUCCUUUCUCCUGUAAAUAGCAAGUUGGGAGGCCUAAAUGUAAUCCAAUCAAGUAAUUAGAUCACCUAGCAUUAGAUUAGAUAAUUGAGCACUGAAUACUUUCAGAUUUCUCCCUUCUCCCUUUCCUUUCCCUGACAUGUGACCAAGUUUCAGGGAGGACCUGGAGAUGGGCCCAUAACCUCAUGCAGACCCUGAUGAAUGGCUGGUCUGAUCUAUGGAUGGGCUCUGGCUGCUAUUAACUGAAGUACUGCUGGUCCAGGUUCAUCACUGAUUUACCUGCUGGCAUUAGCUACAGAAGUCUGUGCCUCUGCUCACUCUGGCUGAUUUCCUAGUUAUCAGUGAUGCUUCCAGGAAGCUUGGGCUGUCUCUUCCUGAUACCCAGGCUCCUCUCUAACUCCCAGUUGCAUUGCAUCCCACCCACUGUAGGUCCAGUCGGGGCUUCAUUCCAUCUCAGAUUAAAUGGCUUUUAGCUGGAGCCAGUCUCCUACUUCCUUAGCAGUCCUUUCUGCGGGCUCCCUAUCAGACUCAAAUUCAGUGUCUGAGCCUGGUCUUCCCUCUCUUGCUGCAUUUACUCUUAAGGACAUGGAGGGAUAUCCACCCCUGAACCUUAUCAAAGUGUUAUGGACUGGGCAGUGGUACCCAGAUUCACUUUAGUCUGUCAACUGUUUUGCAACUGCUGUAGCAUUUGUGCUAAAGAGGCAGUGAGCCCUGUGAUGUUAUUUUCUCCUAGGUGCCAGUAUGGGAUAUAAGAGAAUGUGCCUCUGCUUUAAAGGUUCAUUCUGUUCCAUCUAAUUGCCCACCUCUCUCUCCAGCACAGUGAACUUCCAAGAUGUGUGUUUCUUUCCGUUAGGUCUCUUUAUCUCUGCUUCCCUUCACCUUGGUAAGAAGGAUUGGAAUUUAUAUUUCUUUUCUACCCUGAGCCAUGAUCUGAUCAGCCUGCUUAUUUGUUUCAUAUGUUAAAUUGAAUUAAAGGAAUUUAGAAAGUAAUUUUCCAUAGGUAAGGCUGGGCUGUCAAGACCUUCCUUGCUGGUGGCCAUCAGCUUUGGUGUUCAAAGCCAAUUAGUGGCCUCUUUGUUCCAGGCAGAAUAGUUUCUUUCUUCCCUGGGGCAGGAUGCUUCCUGACUGUCCCUUGAAGGUGAAAGCUUUGGGUGGGGGUAUUUCAGGGCAAAAUAAAAAUAAAUCAUUCUGGUAUCUCCCCCAAACCAUCCUUAUAACUUUCAUGUUUAUGAGAAGACAGUCAUCAAAUUGUGUAUCUGAAAACACUGAGGUUUGGAAAAGGCAAGUAACGUGCCCUGGAUCACACACUUAGUAAAUUUCAGAGCGGCUUUUGAAUUCAGGUUUUGUAAUUGCAGAGUGCAUCUGUCUACCCAUCUAGCAAUGCCUUUUGACAAGACAUAUUUAAAACAUCUGUUAAAAAGUUAAAAAGAUUGGGCAUCUCAAAAUAUUAACAGAUUUGAUCUAGGGCAGAGGAGGAGGAAGUGGGAAUAGUAUAUUUGAGAAUAUAUGUACUAUUCUGGUGUCUGAGCAGCACACACCAGCCAGGACAGGUCCAGUGAGUUUUCUUCUUUUUGCAAAGCUCAACCUGGUGUCCAAGAAGCUUCAUUCUUCAACCUGGACAGUUCAAGAAUUGCAUUCAAAUUCUCCUUCUUCAUGGGAUUAUUUCUGUAUAUUCAAUGAUUAAAAUAAUGACUUUAUUCAUUAAAAAAACUUUAAUAUAGACAGAAGAUUUUUUACUAAAACAGUUUGAAUUCAUUAAUUGAUUUAUAAAUAGAUUGGGAUAAAUUUCUGUUUAUUUAGAAAAUUCUCUUUAUUUGAGGCAUUGGCAAAUUCUAGAGACUGUACUUUUUCAGUUGACUUUUGUGUAAUAUCCCUAAUUUAUUCUAUAGCACCAAAACAGAAUAAUCUGAAAGCAUUUUUAUUUAGGGUAGACCCAAAGUUUUGUAAAACCCAAAGAAUAUUUCAAUGCCAUCUGUAAAUGCGCAACCUUAAAAUAAUAGGGCUGUGCAAGCGAGACACAGGAGGUAACCUGCCUUGCCACUUUAGGACUUUUCUGAUUUUGAGCAUUACAUGGUCAAAGUCAUCAAUCUGGUUGAAAGACUGUCAAAAAGGUUGCAGAACUGACCAGUGUAUUUUGUCAAAAUAUUAUCAAGUUUGUGUAUGUACGUGUAUGAGUAAUUCAAUUGUUGUAUAGCAAUGCAAGAAAAUAUCUAGUUUCCCCAGUCAUAGAAUAAUUAAAUUUGAGUUUGACCUUGAAUGAUAAGAGUAUUUAAACAUGAGUGAUGAGAAGAUAGAUAAAAUAGUCAUGGGGUUAGCACUUAGUUAGGAAAUAUAGACUCCCCCUUAGACUUCUAUAAGGAUCCAUGUCCUUGUAGAUAUAAACAAAGUGCUCAUCACAGAGAGGUCUUGAUUUCUCUUCAGCACAUUGUGUUUUUCCAGGGAUUAAAAUGAUUGGUAAUGUGACUGAGAUUAAUCUGACACACCUGUGAUGGGCAGCUGUCUGUGUUCAACAGUAUUCUUCAGCAAUGCAGUGUAAAAAGAUUAAAGUCUUUUCAACAGUGUAGCCCCUUACACACACACACACACACACACACACACACACACAGACACACACACACACAUACACACAUACACACACACCUGCUGGACAGCCACUGUGGAAAUGCCCUUGGAAAACACUGAAUUUUAUCACAGAGUGGGGAAUGAGUGAUUAAUUUUUAACAUACCUGCCUCUAUAAAUCUAAGGUGCCACUUUCAGACUAAUUCCAUCUCAGCAGAGCUGUUUAUGUGCAUAUAAAGCUAUCAUUUUUUAAAAGUGAAGUUUUAAUACAUGUCCAAGUCAGUUGGCAAACCACAAAAUUAAAAAGAAACUUUCUUUAUAAUUUUAAAUUAUGCUUUCAAGGUAGCUGUAAAUCUCUGUGCACUUUUCUCAGUGCAUUUUUCUGGGCCUAAGCCUUGAUCAUCAUUUUCAUCCUCUGCAGCAAAGUUAAGUAUCAUGAAUGUGUUAGUUUUGAAAAUUAAAUAGAUGUGAUUGUAAAACCUACUUUACGUAACCCAUUGACACUAGUAUUUUCCUUUGUCUAUAUGAUGACACUUGAUCUCAAUCAACUGUCAGAUCAGUUAUCGCUACUUUAUCAGAUUAUGUGAUGCUGUUGCAUGAUGAGCAGACUGUGAAUUAAUUUUUAAUCCAAACGUUAAGGCUGAAAAUUAAAUAAUGUGACUAAUACGACUAUUCUGGCUUGUAGAACACUUUUCUUGAUAAAGUAGUGAGUUGAAUUACUUUAAGUAAUAAGUGACACUAGAUUCAAAUAUUCUGGUUCCCAGGGGAUGUUCUUUAAUUGACAGAUGAACAUUAGCACAAAGGUUGAACACUUCUUAAUCUUUGCAACUUCUCCUGUAGAAAGAACCUAAUUCCAUCUCUCAGCUAAUGCUUGACUCAUCUAAAUUGGCUCAUGUGAUAGCCUUGUUCUUGUUCCACAGAGUUCAGAAGAUUUCACUAGUGAAAACUCUUCUACCUAACAUUCUAUACUCUGUCACUUUUCAUGCAGAUGUAACUUUCUUUUUGCAUUUGCCUUAACAUUUUAGAUCUCAGUUUCCUCAUCGGAAAAAUUUGUAUAAUACUAGUGGUGGGAGGAGGAUGUAUUAUGAAGCCAACAAAGGUUAAGUUUCAAGGCUUGCUUUGCAAGGGCCCAUGCAUAGCCAUCCUUGCAUCUUUAAAAUUCAGUCCUGGAGAGUUCCUGUCGUGGCUCAGUGGCUGACGAACUUGACUAGUGUCCAUGAGGACGUGGGUUCAAUCCUUGGCCUCACUCAGUGGGUUCAGGAUCUGGUGUUGCUGUGAGCUGUGAUGUAGGUCACAGGCAUGGCUCGGAUCCACUGUUGCUGUGGCUGUGGCACAGGCCAUCAUCUUCAGCUCCGAUUUGAUCCCUAGCCUAGGACCCUCCAUAUGCUAUGGGUGAGGCCCUAAAAAAG
rnacentral:lncRNA from 1 species